UACGUAGGUGGCAAGCGUUAUCCGGAAUUAUUGGGCGUAAGCGCGCGCAGGUGGUUUCUUAAGUCUGAUGUGAAAGCCCACGGCUCAACCGUGGAGGGUCAUUGGAAACUGGGAGACUUGAGUGCAGAAGAGGAAAGUGGAAUUCCAUGUGUAGCGGUGAAAUGCGUAGAGAUAUGGAGGAACACCAGUGGCGAAGGCGACUUUCUGGUCUGUAACUGACACUGAGGCGCGAAAGCGUGGGGAGCAAACAGG
rnacentral:rRNA from 1 species